UCCGAGCGCUCUCUCUCUUUCUCGCUCUCUUGAAAGUCCUAUCGGACGAUAUGGAGCUCGGAAGCCCUCCGACGGCCGCAGUCGACCACCAUCGGCCUUCGACGACUCCCACCUCCCUCCCUCUCCUCCUCUCUCUCUUUCUUACUCUCUCUUUUUUCUUCCGUACCGCCUGUGUACUGAAUUUACCGACCAAAUCGUGCCGAUUCUCCAUCGGUCCGGUACAAUACGAGGUGUACCGACCGGUUCGACAUGGUAUGAAAAAUUCUGCUCAAAGAGUAGAAUUGAAAAUAUUCCAAUCCAUCGAAAAGAGUUUCGAUAAUAUUAUAAUAGAGGUCACAAUAUAUCUCACUACCAGAUAGAAUGAAACCUAUGGGAUCGCACAUUGAGAGAUUUAAUCUUGAAUUUACCAAUUGAACUUAUGAAGUUCUAAUUGGAUUAGGAUUUAUUGAAAUUCUAUUGGGUUUAAUAAAAUCAUGCUAGCAUAUGGUUAAACCCAAUUCUUCUCGGAACUUCGAUUGGAUCAAGUCCAUAGCCUUGAACCUAACCUAAAUCCAUUUGGAUUUAAUUGGGCUCUUAAUUGUGAGCCUAAGAGGAUUAGAUUAUGUUAAUGAGUUAGUAUAAAUUAUCUCCUCAUUAUCUCUACAUUAUCUCCUAAUUAUUUCUAAGUGGUAUGUGGAAUAGUAGGAAAAAAUGGGUGGCGGCUACCUCCCUUUUUGGCAGGACCAUGGGUGCCAACCCUUGGAUAAUAUGAGAGGGGCCCGCCCCCUCUUAUGAAUUGGCAUGGAGGAGAGAGAAAGGGGCCACGCCCCCUCUUAUAUGUCAGAAAACCCUAAGGGCAGUGUUGGCACCCCAACUACCUGCCCUAUGUGAGAUAGGGCACCCCAUAUACUUGCUUAAAGGGGCUGAUUACAUGCCAAUUAAGUCUGAUUUUAUUGAAAAAAAUCAGAUUAAAAAGGUAGAGUAUUCUUAUAAGAUAAGGAUAUACUUUUUUAAGUUAAUUGAAUUCUUCUUUUGAGUCAAGAUAGAACCCAUAUAAAGAGAUCUCUUAGGGUUUCUAGUUAGUUGAAUUUUGUGACACAAAAACUCUCCCUCUCCCUUCUCCACGCCUCCCCUCCUUUCUUUUCUCCUUCACAUGCCCAAAGGUUGGGCAUCCUACCUUCCACACGCCAAGAGUCAAGGAGCGGUCCAUCUUCAGCAAGGAACGUGGAGAAAAAGCUGCAAAUCAAGGAGUUGAUUCCACAAUCUAGAUCAAAGAGUUGAUCGAAGUUCCAAAGGCUGAGAUUCUACUUGAAGAAGAAUCUACUACGAAAAGAUCGGUUCAAGAUUGAUUCUGAUGGAUAUCCGUAGAGGUCGGACACGUAUGCGGCUCGAGAACCUACGAACAUGUGAUCAUCAGUUGCGGUGAAUAUCUACCCACGCUAAGGUAUUGAGAUUCGAUCUCAUACUUACUUUUAAUUUCAGAUUAUAUAUCAUUUCUCCGAGAUGGGUAGAAUUAGAUAUGAUUUUAUGCAUGUGGGGUUAAAAGGUUUAACCCGAUCGUUUUUCUACUGCAAUCAAAAAAAUUUUGAAAUCUACAUAUGCUGUCUACCCGAUUUUUUAACAGUGGUAUCAGAGCCACUGGUUUUUUUAAAGACACGGAUGAUCUGAUUUUAGAUUAGAUCCGAAAGUUUUAGUGAUUUAAAAUCGAUCUUGUGUUGAUAUCAGAUUAUUUUGGUAUAGGAUUUAGCUCCUAUAUUGUAAAAGUUGUACUAGUACAAGAUUGAUCGAUUUUGAAAACUAUUUUCAAAGCAAUUAAAUCAAUCUUUUAGAUCUGAAAAUGAGCAUAUAUGAUAUGUUUAAUUUUAAAUUUAAAUCUGAAAUUAGAAUGAUUAAAAAUUUACAUCAAACUAAUAUAAGAUUGUCCUGAUAUAGGAUUUACCCUCGAUAUUGUAAAGGUUGUUCUAGUUUGAUGUGAACCUAUUUUUGAAAAGAUAUUUUAAAAAUAUUUUAAUCAUUAUUUUAGAUCUGAUUUUACACGUAUUUGAUAUGUAUAAUUUUAGUUUUGGAUUUGAAAUUUAAUGUAUAUAUGAUGCAUAUUUUAAUUUAGAUCGGAAACUACAUAUAUAUGAUAUAUGACAUUAGGUUUAGAUCUGAAACAGNNNNNNNNNNNNNNNNNNNNNNNNNNNNNNNNNNNNNNNNNNNNNNNNNNNNNNNNNNNNNNNNNNNNNNNNNNNNNNNNNNNNNNNNNNNNNNNNNNNNNNNNNNNNNNNNNNNNNNNNNNNNNNNNNNNNNNNNNNNNNNNNNNNNNNNNNNNNNNNNNNNNNNNNNNNNNNNNNNNNNNNNNNNNNNNNNNNNNNNNNNNNNNNNNNNNNNNNNNNNNNNNNNNNNNNNNNNNNNNNNNNNNNNNNNNNNNNNNNNNNNNNNNNNAAUUGUGUUAUUAGCAUGUGAGUAUGGGUUGAACAAAUUAGAUCUAAUGAUCAAACUACAAUUAAGGUCAAAUUGUUUAGAUCGGACUAGAAUCCGUGUUCGAUUUUGAGCAGUUGAUUGAAUCUAAUCGAUGGCUGAUUAGAAUUGGAUCACAGAGGCUCAAAAUCGAGUUUGGUUAUAGUUGAUCGCAUCGAUUCACAUUUUGAUGUGAAUUGAUUGACUCAAGACCGAAUUUGGCUCAGUGAUUCGAGUCCAUUUCAAUAGAUUAACUUGAUCGAUUCUAAUUAACUACUUUGAUGUCUAAGAUAAGUAUUUAGAUGGUGAUUAUUUAAUUGAUUUCGUUGUCUGACCUCACCAAUUUUGAUUGGUGUCUAAGAAAAGCAACGGGGGGACCCCCACUCAUCUUAACUUAUCUGGCUAUCUUGAGAGAUUUAGUUUCGUGUUAGAUUACUUGUUGACUCGAGUUCACCCAUGCCGACUAGGCUGGUUAGACAUGUUGAUGUGCUGACCUGAAUUUAAUCAGUCAGAUGUCAGAUCUGCUGAUUUAGAAGAGACCUAAACCUAAAUUUUCUCACUAAAUAUUAAAUCUAGAGGUCUUCUAUCGUUGUAGAGAUGCGGGUGCCUUUAUGAUGUUGACCGUUUUUGACUGGUUACAGUGGUUCGGUUGCAUCAAAAAGGUACAACCACUCUAUUGACAUUUGAUGUCCUGGGAUAGAGAUGGGGUUGGGCCCAAUAACUGUUAGGUGAGAAUCUCAAUGAUGGUUUUGCGUCUGCUGAUGAACGAUGGAUCUGACUUAACUAAGAAAUGUGCCAAUAACUGUUAGAUGAGGCCACAGGGCUUAGAGACCAAGCCCACUGAAUCUUGCUUAGUGAAGUAAUGGAUAAAGUGUUGUCCACUCAUUGGUCUAUACUCACCAAUAACUGUUAGAUGAGGUGUGUAUAGGUUAAUGGGACCGUAGUAUCCACUUGAAACUGAUCGUGUAUAGAUUUUCGUUUCUCCACCCGAGUGUGGGAGAUUCGAAAAAAUAAUAGAAGCCUUUGUUUAUUUUUAAAGUCCCUAAAACAAAUAAUUUUUAUAAUUACAAACAUCUAACUAGAAACUGUCUCUCUGCCGAUAACCAUAUCGAGUUCCAACCCCUUAGCCCGUAUCCUCGAUACCAAUAGAUUGACCGAUACGAACUAUAAAGAUUGACUCUUAAAUUUGAGAAUCAUUCUCAGCUUCGAAAAACUCACCCAUGUCCUAGACCAGGAUAUACCGGUGUUACCUGCUCAUCCAUCUCCUGAUCAACGAGCCGCACUUGAGAAAUGGAUGGAUGAAGAUAACAAGGCAAAGUGUUACAUAUUAGCAUCCAUGUCCAAUGAUCUUCUGCGACAGCAUGAAGAUAUGAAGAUUACCAUAGAGAUGCUGACUCACCUGUAAGAGUUGUAUGGUGAGCAGAAUCGCACAGCUCAACGAGCUCUCCUGAAGACUUUUUAAAGCGAAGAUACAUGAUGGACAGUCCGUUAAUGAUCAUUGUCUGACAAUGAUCAAAGACAUAGAGGAGCUUCAGAAGCUCGAUAUGAACAUAGACAAAAAAUUGCAGGUAAAUCUGAUCCUCCAAUCUCUUCUUGAAUCAUAUGGACAGUUCAUUACGAACUACCAUAUGAAUAAAAUUGAUAGCAUUUUGCCUGAGUUAUUGAAUAUACUGGUAACAACAGAGGACCACCUUGAAGAGUUCAAAAAGUACAAUUCUGACUGUGGAGUGGGCUUCCUACAAAAGAAAUUAUUUUAAGAAGAAAAAGCCUACGAAGAAGCAGAAGAAUGAGGCCAAACCCAAAAAAAAGUUUCGAAGAAGACCGAUGAUAAAAAAAAUAUUUUCAUUGCAACGUUGAAGGCUACUGGAGAAGGAACUAUCUGGUCUACCUGAUGACUGUCAAGAGUAGAAAGAAGGAUGGGCCUUCUGAAAGUACAUCUGAAUUGUUCGUUAUUGAAACUAAUCUAACGAUUUCCUUUUCUUCUAGUUGGGUUCUAGAUUUUGGAUCAAAUGCUUAUUUGUGCACUUCUAUGUAGGAUCUUGAAGAAGUUAGGAAGCUGAAGGAAGACGAGAUCACUCUCUGAAUCGAUAAUGGAGCAAUGAUUGCUGCUGUGACCGUUAGGACUUAGUUUAAUUUUAAAAGACUGUUAUUAUGUAUCUGUAGCCAGUAAGAAUUUGAUUUUCAUCUCUAUGCUGGCACAGGAUAAUUAUAAUUUUCAUUUCAAUAAAGACAUGUGUUCAAUUUAUUUCAAAAAUAAAAUUAUUGCACGUGCUUUAUUGAUGGACGGUCUUUAUCAUUUGUAUAUGGAUGCGAGUAUAAAUAUUAACAAGCAAAUUGUGAAUGCCAUAGGAUCUAAGAGACUUAGAGAUAGGAUUAGCCAAAAAUAUCUGUGGCACCUUAAGCUAGGCCAUAUUGAAGAAGACAGACUCGACAAACCGAAAAAAGAUGAUCUUUUCGAACCAUUGACUUCCGAGUCUUAUCCGAUUUGUGAAUCAUUUCUUUAAGAAAAAAUGACCAAACUAUCAUUUAUGGGACAAGGAGAAAUGGCCAUUAAGGUAUUAGCCCUGGUACACACUGACGUUUGUGGUCCAUUCGAUGUACAAGCCAGGGAUGGUUAUGUCUACUUCAUAAUUUUUACCGAUGAUUAUUCACGGUAUGGAUUUGUGUAUCUGAUAUACAGAAAGUCUAAAACUUUUGAAAAGUUCAUAGAGUUCAGACAUGAAGUAGAAAAACAGACCAAAAAAUCAAUAAAGGUUCUUUGAUCAUAUCGAGGAGGAAAAUACCUCAGUGAAAAAUUUUAGAUCUAUCUCAAAGAUAAUGGUAUAGUCUCACAGUGGACACCUCAACUCAACGAGAUAUCCGAAAGGAAGAAUCGGAUCCUAUUAGAUAUGAUCCGAUCCAUGAUGAGCUUCACAAACCUUCCUAUCUUUCUUUGAGGACAUGCAUUGCUUCCUGUAAUUCAUCUUUUGAAUCGAAUUUUCUUUAAAUCUAUUCCUACCACACCAUAUGAGUUAUGGUAUAGUAAGAAGCCAACUCUUGAUUACCUCAAGAUUUGAGGAUGUCCGAUUCAUGUCAAGCGAUAGCAGACGGACAAGUUAGAGAUUAGAUCCUUUAGGACUCGUUUUAUAAGAUAUCCCAAGAAAAUCAUGAGAUACUACUUCUAUCUUCCUGAGGAUCACAAUGUGAUUGUGGGCCGUCAAACCAUCUUCUUAGAAAAAGAGUUUAUCCAAAAUGAAGGCAGUGGAAGGAAGAUUGAGCUAAAAAAAAAAUCUCUGAAGAAUAUCGAGUCCAAAAACCUGAACCCAAUAAUGAGCCAGUAGAUGUGACACCACCUCGUAGAUCAAAUAGGAUUUUUCGUCCUCCUGAAAGGUACUUAGGUAUUCUUACAGAGGAUUUAGAGGAAACAUUCCUUAUAGAAAAUAGGGACAUUAGGAANNNNNNNNNNNNNNNNNNNNUUGGAUCGAAUGGUAAGAUAGAGACCUAUAAGGCAAAGCUAGUUGCGAAAGGUUAUAGUCAAUGCGAAGGCAUUGACUAUCGUGAAACUUUUUCAUCCGUAGCCAUACUGAAAUCUAUCCGUACUCUACUUGCGAUAGCAGCUUUUCAUGAUUAUGAAAUUUAACAGAUGGAUGUGAAAACUACCUUCCUAAAUGAAUAUCUUCAGGAAGAUAUUUAUAUGGAGCAGCUUCUGGAUUUCACAUCCAGUGAUAGUGAUCACAAGGUCUGCAAGCUGCAAAGGUGCAUAUAUGAACUUAAACAAGCAUCUCGAAGUUGGAACACUCGCUUCAAUGAUGUGAUCAAAAUGUUUGAUUUCAUCAAAAAUGAGAAGCCGUGUGUGUACAAAAAGAUCAGUGGGAGUGCUGUCACAUUCUUCGUAUUGUACGUGGAUGACAUCCUCCUGAUUGAGAAUAAUAUUCCCAUACUGACAUUGGUUAAAGUAGGUUGUCGAAAGAGUUCGUCAUGAAAGACCUAGGAGAAGCUUCCUACAUUCUCGGUACAAAGGUCUAUAAAGAUAGAUCUAAGAGAAUGAUAGGACACAGCGAAUGUACAUAGAGGAUAUGAUGAAAAGAUUCAGCAUGGAAAACUCUAAGAGGGAUCUUUUGCCCCUUAGACAUGAUAUUCAUCUCUCUAAGAAGAUGUGUCCCGACACACCCGAGGAGAUCCAGCGCAUGAGCAAGAUCCCUUAUGCUUUCGCAAUAGAAAAUCUCAUGUAUGCCAUGUUAUGUACACGUCCUGAUAUAGCACUUACCGUGAGUGUCGUAAGCAGAUAUCAGGCGAAUCCAAGUGAAGAAUAUUGGAUUGCUGUUAAAAAUAUCCUGAAGUACUUGAGAAGGACUAAGAAUUUGAUGUUGGUCUUUGAUGGAGGAUUGGAGCUGAAAGUUAAGGAAUACACCAAUUCAGACUUUAUGACUGAUGUUGAUGAUAGAAAAUCUACAUCAGGGUGUAUCUUCUUAUGCAAUGGUGGUGCAGUUAGCUGAAAGAGUUCUAAGCAAUCGAUCAUUACAGAUUCGACCAUGGAAGCCGAAUACAUCGCCGCCUCUGAAGCUACUAAGGAAGCUUUUUGGUUCAAAAAAUUCAUUACGAAGCUGGAUGUGAUGCCAUCAGCUGCCAUUGCACUACACUACGACAACAACGGCACCAUAGCCCUCGCUAAGAAGUCCAGGUCUCACCAGAAGACUAAGCACAUAGAACGGCGAUUUCACACCAUACGUGAAUAUCUCAAAAAAAAAUUCGUCAAGGUGCAGAGAGUCGACUCCCUGCUAAACGUAGCGGAUCCGCUAACCAAGUCUCUCAGCCAGCAGAAGAUCGAAGCUCACCUUGAGAAGAUGGAUCUUAAAUAUAUGGCUAAUUAGCUUUAGAUCAAGUGGGAGUUUGUUAGAUUUGUGUCCUAAAAGUCAAUUGUUGACUGACACAUUAUGUAAUUUCAGAGCUUAAAACUUGUACUUAUAAUUUUUCAUUAUCAAUAAAGGACUUUUUCAUUCUAAUCAUGUUUAUGUGUCUAUGAUUUAUCCUAAAAAUUAACAAAGAUAAUUUUUAUAUAUUCUUAAAGUGUUAAAAAUUUGAGACAUACAUUAAUUAGUGGUUAAUUUCUAAAUGCUCCCGCUCAAUAGAUCGUCACGGACGACAGUGAUCAAUUCAUUAGAGAUCGAUGCACAGUUUACCUCUCUUGUGGGCAGAUUAGUCUCGAGUCUACAGUGUAGGGACACUAGGGUGAGGGUGAGGGUGCAGAUGAUUGUUAGAGAACAACUUGCACUGAGCGUGACCAAUACGAGAAACCACAUGGAUGUCUACUCACUCGUCAGUAUUCUCGAUGCUGCAGUAAUGUGAGUGAUCCUUUGACUUGCGAUGUCAUUGACUAUUCGUAGCGAGGCUAUUGAGUUUGACUGUACGUUUUCUUGGUCCCUAGGUAUGUUGGCUUCAGUAAGUUUAGAUUCGCUGUUUGGAGUAGGAUACACCUAGAAAGAAUCUAUCGACCUUGGUAAAAAAGGAGGUCCUAUGUGAUUUGCGAGAUUGAGUUUAGAAAGUCUUUGGCCAAAGCAAGUGUGAAUACUGAAAAAGAGUUUUCACGGGAUUCACAAAUAAAUUCGAAUCAAGCCAAUCUAGUAUAUGAAUGACAAUAGGGUCUGAUGAAUUCUCCAUGACCUCCGUCAAGUCAGGACUCACAAUAGAAGGACUGAAUCAUACGAUAACUACACCUAGAAGUUCAUACUUUCAUUCUACUGAAUUGCCACUAUAUACCGCUAGAUGUCACCGAUGGACUGUAGGACUCAUCAGACAUCAUCUUGAUGAUCGAUGAUCCUCGAAGGAUAGAAUUGAAAAUAUUUCAAUCCAUCGAAAAGAAUUUCGAUGAUAUUGUGAUAGAGAUCACAAUCACUAUCAGAUAGAAUGGAACCUAUAGGGUCACACAUUAAGAGAUUUAAUCUUGAAUUUAUCAAUUAGACUUAUCAAGUUAUAAUUGGAUUAAAAUUUAUUGAAAUCUUAUUGGGUUUAAUAGAACCAUGCUAGCACAUGAUUAAACCUAAUUUUUUUUGAAACUUCGAUUAGAUCAAAUCUAUAGCCUUGAACCUAACCUAAAUCCAUUUGAAUUUAAUUAGACUCUUAAUUGUGAGCCCAAGAAAAUUGGAUUAUGCCAAUGAGUUGACAUAAAUUAUCUCCUCAUUAUCUCUACAUUAUCUCUUAAUUAUCUCUAAGUGAUGUGUGGAAUAGUAGAAAAGAAUAGGUGGCACCUACCUCCCUUUUUGGCAGGACCAUAGGCGCCAACCCUUGGAUAAUGUGGAGCCCCCCCCUCUUAUGGAUUGGCGUGGAGGAGAGAGAGAGGGGCCACGCCCCCUCUCAUAUGUCAGAAAAUCCUAAGGGGGCGCCAACACUAACUAUCUACCCCAUGUGAGAUGGGGCGCUCCAUAUACUUGCCUAAAGUGGCGCCACACUUGGUGCCCCAACUACCUACCCCAUGUGAGAUGCGGCGCUCCAUAUACUUGCCUAAAGUGGCGCCCUAACUACCUGCCCUAUGUGAGAUGGGGUGCCCCAUAUACUUGCCUAAAGGGGCUGAUUACAUGCCAAUUAAGUCCGAUUUUAUUGAGAAAAAAUUAGAUUAAAAAGAUAGAGUAUUCUUAUGAGAUAAGAAUAUACCUUUUUAAGUUAAUUGGAUUCCUUUUUUGAGUCAAAAUAGAGCCUAUAUAAAGAAAAGAUCUCUUAGGGUUUCUAGUUAGUUGAAUUUUGUAUGACAAAAACUCUCCCUCUCUUCUCCACGCCUCUCCUCCUUCCUCUUCUCCUUCACAUGCCCAAAGGUUGGGCGUCCCACCUUCCACACGCCAAGAGUUGAGGAGCAGUCCAUCUUCAGCAAGGAACGUAGAGAAAAAGCUGCAGAUCAAGAAGUUGAUUCCACAAUCUAGAUCAAAGAGUUGAUUGAAGUUCUAAAGGCUAAGAUUCUACUUAGAAAAGAAGAAUCUACUACGAGAAGAUUGGUUCAAGAUUGAUUCCGAUAGAUACCCGUAAAAAUUGGAUACGUGUGUGGCUCGAGAACCUACGAACCUGUGAUCAUCGGUUGCGAUGAAUAUCUACUCGCACUAAGGUAUUGAGAUUCGAUCUCAUACUUUUAAUUUCAGAUAAUAUGUGUGUCUUAUCUCUUGAGCUUGGAUAGGAUUAGAUAUGAUCUUAUGCAUGUGGGGUUAAAGCAUUUAACCCGAUCGUUUUUCUGCUGCAAUCAAAAAAUUUUUGAAAUCUACACAUGUUGCCUAUCCGAUUUUCUAACAGACUUAUGUCAUCAAAAAGAUUGAUGCUCUAAUUUCUGAAACCAAAAAAAAGGUGAAGACCAAAAAAUCAUAUAAUUUCGAAACCUUAGUUCAAACAAAAAUUGUUACAUUUCAAAACAUGAUUUUUUAAGUGCAGUUUACUUUUGAAGAAAUAUUCAAAUGCUACAAAAGAAUUUGCAAUACAUCAAUGCGUGGAAACUUCUAUAUUUAGAAAGCCAUUUUCCAGACUCAGCAAGUCGUGAGCUGUGCAAAUUAUGAUUUUGAAGUAACAGAAACUCAUUUUCAAACAAAUAUGAACUUUGAAACAUCUGAUUUGGAAAACACCUUUGAUAUUAAAUCAUGACAUGAAAAAAUUUUGAGUGAAAAACCAUUUUCUGAAUUAGAUAUUUUAAAUAUAAAAUAUGCAAUUUUGAAAUAGUGUUUUGCUGACAAAAGAACAAAAUUCUUACCUUCAAAACAAAAAUGAAGGGCAGGAAAUCUUAUAAUUAUAAAAGUUUAUUACAUAUUUAAAUUUUGAAUUUCAAAAUGCAUUAUUUUGAAGCCGCAAUUCACUUAUCAAAUAGCAAAUAUAACUAUCAUAGAUUUUUUUAAUUAAAUUAUGUCAAUAUGAGGAAACUUUAUAACUGUGGGAUCAUGUUUCCAGAUAUUUUCAACUUUGAAAUUUAUGAUUUCAAAAGAAGAGUUCAUCUUUUAAAAUGAGAAUGUUUCAAAAUGAGAAAAAAUUAGUUUAAAACGAAAUGAGAUUAAAACUUUUUAAUUUAGAAACAUUUUUUGACUAAGUUUAGAAUUUUGAAAUAUCCAAAUUCAAAGGUUGAGUUGGUUUUGAAAACGAGAAUG
rnacentral:lncRNA from 1 species